rnacentral:rRNA from 1 species
AUGGAGCAGCAGCACAAUGACCACAGUGCCAUGGGCGUCGCUACUCCCUCCUGCUCAUCCUCCACCACAUCAUCUUUGGACUCGUUUCCAUUCGACUCGAGCUUGAGUAGCGGCGAGAUGCUUGACGCGGAAAGGAGUCCUCGGCCCAAGAAGCGAGCACUCUCGGCAGCACCGUCGUACAUCGGCGUGCGCGCGCGGCCGUGGGGACGGUUCGCGGCGGAGAUCCGAGACUCCACGCGUGGCGGCGCACGGGUGUGGCUGGGCACGUUUCAAACUGCCGAGGCCGCCGCGAUGGCCUACGACCAGGCGGCCCUGUCCUCGAGGGGCGCGGCCACGGCGCUCAACUUUCCCCUGGAGCGUGUCCAGGACUCGCUCUGCGCGCUCGGCGCCACCGCCACUGGCUCGUGCAUGGGAGGUUCGCCCGUCCUGGCGCUCAAAUGGCGCCACUCCUGUAGACGGAGGCGCAACAAAGCCGAGAUAUUGAACGAUGCGGCGACAGCCAGGGUGAAAAAGAAGAAACGGUUCAUCGUGGAGCUGGUGGACCUGGGUGCCGAGUACCUGGACGAGCUUCUCAGAAUUACCUGUAAUACAGCUUACUAG